rnacentral:rRNA from 1 species
ACCCUGAUGCAGCCAUGCCGCGUGUGUGAAGAAGGCCUUCGGGUUGUAAAGCACUUUCAGUAGGGAGGAAAGGGUGAGUCUUAAUACGGCUCAUCUGUGACGUUACCUACAGAAGAAGGACCAGCUAACUCCGUGCCAGCAGCCGCGGUAAUACGGAGGGUCCGAGCGUUAAUCGGAAUUACUGGGCGUAAAGCGUGCGCAGGCGGUUUGUUAAGCGAGAUGUGAAAGCCCUGGGCUCAACCUAGGAAUAGCAUUUCGAACUGGCGAACUAGAGUCUUGUAGAGGGGGGUAGAAUUCCAGGUGUAGCGGUGAAAUGCGUAGAGAUCUGGAGGAAUACCGGUGGCGAAGGCGGCCCCCUGGACAAAGACUGACGCUCAUGCACGAAAGCGUGGGGAGCAAACAGGAUUAGAUACCCUGGUAGUCCACGCCGUAAACGAUGUCUACUCGGAGUUUGGUGUCUUGAACACUGGGCUCUCAAGCUAACGCAUUAAGUAGACCGCCUGGGGAGUACGGCCGCAAGGUUAAAACUCAAAUGAAUUGACGGGGGCCCGCACAAGCGGUGGAGCAUGUGGUUUAAUUCGAUGCAACGCGAAGAACCUUACCUACUCUUGACAUCCACGGAAGAGACCAGAGAUGGACUUGUGCCUUCGGGAACCGUGAGACAGGUGCUGCAUGGCUGUCGUCAGCUCGUGUUG